UUCUUAAACAAAUGUCAAGGAAGACGCGUCACGCUGUUGCGCGCAGUUUGUUAAUUUAAUUGUGCCGCCAUUUUGAUUUCUGCAAAUAGCUUUGAGAUUACAAGAUUUUACUGUGAGUUUAAAGCACGAAUAACGUCAAACUAACUCAAAAUGAGUUACGGAAGGCCUCCACCUCGUAUAGAUGGCAUGGUUUCACUGAAAGUGGACAACUUAACUUACCGCACGACUCCUGAAGAUCUGCGCCGCGUUUUUGAGAGGUGUGGUGAUGUCGGCGACAUAUAUAUCCCACGAGACCGGUAUACGCGAGAAAGCAGAGGAUUCGCAUUUGUCAGAUUCUACGAUAGGCGAGAUGCUGAAGAGGCAUUGGACUCUCUAGACGGGCGCAUGUUGGACGGAAGGGAGCUCCGUGUGCAGAUGGCUCGCUACGGGCGUCCAUCGUCACCGUACAGGAGCCGCCAUGACCGGCGUCGCAGCAACUCCCGUCGUCGCUCCAGGUCACGCUCGCGCUCCCGCCGUCGCUCGUACUCGCGCAGCCGCUCGCGCUCCCGCUCGCGCAGUCGCAGCCGCUCCGACUCUAAGAGCUCCCGAGGGAGGUCUCGCAGCCGCAGCCACAGCCGUUCAAGAUCAAGGCAUUGAAGCAAUGUGUUGAAGUACCUAGAGGCUGUGAAGUGCUGUUUUCCAGGCCUAGAUGAGAAUAUGCAGCCAUUCGCCAAGGGCAUUGGAGUAUGCUGGGAGCGAGGCAGUUUGCGGGGAGGGGGUUAUUGCGGUUUGCUGACAACUGCUGAAUUGCUGUUGUUGCAGAGCAUAAGUUAUGAGUAAACUUUAUAUUUUUACUGACAAAAUAUGACCACACAACUGUGUAGGUAUUGAUGAUAAUACUAAACCCUAUAUCAGUAGGAUUAAAUAAUCAUUGUUUGUUUCACACUUAUCCAAAUUGUAAUGCACACAAAAUCAAGUAGAUAAAAUAUAUGAUUAUAAUGUUAAACAUUUCAGUAAAAAAAAAACCUUUGACUGUUUAGACUAUGGACCUG
rnacentral:misc_RNA from 1 species